GAAGCUAAGUAGGAAAAGUUUCAACAAGACGAGUGUUGACGAAGGUAAUGUAGCACGGGAGAAGGUCAGACAGGGAUAGAUUGCCUUUUGUUACGAGGUACAUGGGGCGGCCACUUCGCGCGCAAACGCUCAUCUCUUCCGGGCGUCCCUGUGUUGAUUGAGGGAGAAAUCUUCGGAUGUGUCUCCCCUCCCUUAUUUGUAGGCUAGUCGAGCCACUAGCCACUGGAAACGAUAUGGGAUUUAUGCCAUUAGGACUCGCACCAACGAGGCACUGCCGAGCAGCACAGUCGGGGGGAGGGGGGGUCACAUUCCAACCAUGCUUUGGAUGGGUGGAGAAGGAGGCUGGGUGCAGUCAGGCCAGAAACUGGCUGUUGCUGCUGCUGCAUGAUCUGUGUAGAUUCCACUUGGUGAGCAAUGUGGGAGUGGGAUGCUGAGAAAUCAACCUAGGGUUUUGUUGCAAUACCAUUGUUAUGUGUGGGUUUGUUGUUGCGUUACCAUGGUGCGACCAUUGUCGAUUUUUUUUAAUUUUUUUAUUCUAAGAUUCAAUUCACACAUUUGCUAGGUUUAGUGUUGGGUUGUUAAAGAGCAAUUGUUGGAUUUAGCGUUCAGUUAGACUUUAGAUAUACAGUAAAAUUUGUUUUCAAAAGAAAUAAUUUAAACUAUUUGCUGAA